rnacentral:rRNA from 1 species
CCUACGGGGUGCACCAGUGGGGAAUAUUACACAAUGGGCGCAAGCCUGAUGCAGCCAUGCCGCGUGUAUGAAGAAGGCCUUCGGGUUGUAAAGUACUUUCAGCGGGGAGGAAGGCAAUAAGGUUAAUAACCCUGUCGACUGACGUUACCCGCAGAAGAAGCACCGGCUAACUCCGUGCCAGCAGCCGCGGUAAUACGGAGGGUGCAAGCGUUAAUCGGAAUUACUGGGCGUAAAGCGCACGCAGGCGGUCUGUCAAGUCGGAUGUGAAAUCCCCGGGCUCAACCUGGGAACUGCAUUCGAAACUGGCAGGCUAGAGUCUUGUAGAGGGGGGUAGAAUUCCGGGUGUAGCGGUGAAAUGCGUAGAGAUCUGGAGGAAUACCGGUGGCGAAGGCGGCCCCCUGGACAAAGACUGACGCUCAGGUGCGAAAGCGUGGGGAGCAAACAGGAUUAGAUACCCUCGUAGUC